rnacentral:rRNA from 1 species
AACCUUUACACUGCACGACAGUGCGAUAAGGGAAUCCCAAGUGCGUAGGCAUAGAGCCUACGCUUUUGUCCACCGUAGGGAGGUGGACGAAUAAGGGGUGUGCGAGACCGGUGCCAGCCGCCGCGGUAAUACCGGCAGCCCGAGUGAUGGCCGAUCUUAUUGGGCCUAAAGCGUCCGUAGCUGGCCGCGCAAGUCUAUCGGAAAAUCCACCCGCUCAACGGGUGGGCGUCCGGUAGAAACUGCGUGGCUUGGGACCGGAAGGCGCGACGGGUACGUCCGGGGUAGGAGUGAAAUCCCGUAAUCCUGGACGGACCGCCGAUGGCGAAAGCACGUCGCGAAGACGGAUCCGACAGUGAGAGACGAAAGCUAGGGUCUCGAACCGGAUUAGAUACCCGGGUAGUCCUAGCCGUAAACAAUGCCUGCUAGGUGUGGCUCCCACUACGAGUGGGUGCUGUGCCGUAGGGAAGCCGCUAAGCAGGCCGCCUGGGAAGUACGUCCGCAAGGAUGAAACUUAA